rnacentral:tRNA from 1 species
GUCAGGAUGGCCGAGCGGUCUAAGGCGCUGCGUUCAGGUCGCAGUCCGGUCGUCCGGGCGUGGGUUCGAAUCCCACUUCUGACA